GACGAACGCUGGCGGCGUGCUUAACACAUGCAAGUCGAACGGUGAAGGGAUCAGCUUGCUGGUUCUGGAUGAGUGGCGCACGGGUGAGUAACACGUGAGUAACCUGCCCCCUUCUUCUGGAUAACCGCAUGAAAGUGUGGCUAAUACGGGAUAUUCUGCUCCUGCUGCAUGGUGGGUGUGGGAAAGAUAUUGUUUCGGUGGGGGAUGGGCUCGCGGCCGAUCAGCUUGUUGGUGGGGUGAUGGCCUACCAAGGCGGUGACGGGUAGCCGGCCUGAGAGGGGGGACGGUCACACUGGGACUGAGACAAGGGCCAGACACAUACGGGAGGCAGCAGUGGGGAAGAUUGCACAAGGGGCGCAAGCCUGAUGCAGCGACGCCGGGUGAGGGAUGGAGGCCUGCGGGAUGUGAACCUCUUGCGCGAGUGAAGCAGGCGUGUCCCUUGUGGGUGGGUUGACGGUAGCUGGAAAAGAAGCGCCGGCUAACUACGUG
rnacentral:rRNA from 1 species